UACGUAGGGUGCGAGCGUUAUCCGGAAUUAUUGGGCGUAAAGAGCUCGUAGGCGGUUUGUCGCGUCUGCCGUGAAAGUCCGGGGCUCAACUCCGGAUCUGCGGUGGGUACGGGCAGACUAGAGUGAUGUAGGGGAGACUGGAAUUCCUGGUGUAGCGGUGAAAUGCGCAGAUAUCAGGAGGAACACCGAUGGCGAAGGCAGGUCUCUGGACGGUAACUGACGCUGAGACGCGAAAGCGUGGGGAGCAAACAGG
rnacentral:rRNA from 1 species